rnacentral:rRNA from 1 species
GAUGAACGCUGGCGGCGUGCUUAACACAUACAAGUCGAACGGAAAGGCCCAAGCUUGCUUGGGUACUCGAGUGGCGAACGGGUGAGUAACACGUGGGUGAUCUGCCCUGCACUUCGGGAUAAGCCUGGGAAACUGGGUCUAAUACCGGAUAGGACCACAUUUUGGAUGGUGUGGUGGAAAGUUUUUCGGUGUGGGAUGAGCUCGCGGCCUAUCAGCUUGUUGGUGGGGUAAUGGCCUACCAAGGCGUCGACGGGUAGCCGGCCUGAGAGGGUGUACGGCCACAUUGGGACUGAGAUACGGCCCAGACUCCUACGGGAGGCAGCAGUGGGGAAUAUUGCACAAUGGGCGCAAGCCUGAUGCAGCGACGCCGCGUGGGGGAUGACGGCCUUCGGGUUGUAAACUCCUUUCGCUAGGGACGAAGCGCAAGUGACGGUACCUGGAGAAGAAGCACCGGCUAACUACGUG